rnacentral:lncRNA from 1 species
AUUUAAUUAAAUUAAACCGUAAUAUCAAAACAAGUAAGGUUAGUCAACACAAUGAUAAAUAAACACAAGUGAGAAGAAAAUGUCAAAUUUUGGCCCUUUGCCCAAAUUCAAAUUCUUGGCCCAAACCUAUCCUAAAUUCUAAGAGUGGGCCUGCUGAUGGGUUUCAGCCCAUUUUUGCCCCUUUGUACACUUGAAAUUCUGUGUAUACAUUUGGUGUAUACCGCUGUAUAUAAGCCAUGUUUUGACCCGUUUUCGUGUAUAUCAGACUGUAUAUGGAGUGUAUACAGUCUAUUUUGACCCCUGCAGCCUGCACUUCAUUUUUUUGAACCUGUGUGUCGAUAUUUUUGCCAUGUAUAUCAGUGUAUACGGCUGUAUACAGUGUAUAUUGGCCUGUACACCAUUCCGUUUUUGACUUCCUUGCCCUGUAACUUUGAUUUUCAGCCUUGUAUAUUACUU